UACAGAGGUGGCAAGCGUUGCUCGGUAUCACUGGGCUUAAAGGGCGCGUAGGCGGUGCGGUACGGUUCAGUGAAAUCCCUCGGCCCAACCGAGGAACAGCUGGGGCUACGGCCGCACUAGACGGCAUCAGGGGACAGUGGAACUCCCGGUGGAGCGGUGAAAUGCGUAGAUAUCGGGAAGAACACCGUGGCGAAAGGCGGCUCACUGGCC
rnacentral:rRNA from 1 species